rnacentral:rRNA from 1 species
AUUGAACGCUGGCGGCAGGCCUAACACAUGCAAGUCGAGCGAGCGGCGGACGGGUGAGUAAUGCUUGGGAAUCUAGCUUAUGGAGGGGGAUAACUACGGGAAACGGUAGCUAAUACCGCGUACCAUAGGAUGAGCCCAAGGGGGAUUAGGUAGUUGGUGGGGUAAAGGCUCACCAAGCCGACGAUCCCUAGCUGGUCUGAGAGGAUGACCGGCCACACUGGGACUGAGACACGGCCCAGACUCCUACGGGAGGCAGCAGUGGGGAAUAUUGCGCAAUGGGGGCAAGCCUGACGCAGCCAUGCCGCGUGAAUGAAGAAGGCCUUCGGGUUGUAAAGUUCUUUCAGCGGGGAGGCGUUACCCGCAGAAGAAGCACCGGCUAACUCCGUGCCAGCAGCCGCGGUAAUUC